rnacentral:rRNA from 1 species
UGGAUAACCUGCCUGGAAGUGGGGGAUAACUCGGGGAAACCUGAGCUAAUACCGCAUACGCUUUCCGGAUCGCGGUCCGGAUCGGAAAGGUUGCCUCUUCUUCGAAAGCUAUCGCUUCCAGAGGGGUCCGCGUCUGAUUAGCUAGUUGGUGGGGUAAUGGCUCACCAAGGCGACGAUCAGUAGCCGGCCUGAGAGGGUGAUCGGCCACACUGGAACUGAGACACGGUCCAGACCUCUACGGGA